UCCGAUGAUGGCAUGGAAUCUUUGAGACCUGAUUUCUAUUUUUUUGAUGAAAAAAUUUCAAGCAAUUUUCUCUGAGGAC